ACGGAAGGCAGCAGUGGGGAAUAUUGCACAAUGGGGGAAACCCUGAUGCAGCGACGCCGCGUGAGUGAAGAAGUAUCUCGGUAUGUAAAGCUCUAUCAGCAGGGAAGAAAAUGACGGUACCUGACUAAGAAGCACCGGCUAAAUACGUGCCAGCAGCCGCGGUAAUACGUAUGGUGCAAGCGUUAUCCGGAUUUACUGGUGUAAAGGGAGCGUAGGCGGUUUGGCAAGUCUGAUGUGAAACCCCGGGGCUUAACCCCGGGCAUGCAUUGGAAACUGUCGGACUAGAGUGUCGGAGAGGAAAGCGGAAUUCCUAGUGUAGCGGUGAAAUGCGUAGAUAUUAGGAGGAACACCAGUGGCGAAGGCGGCCUUCUGGACGAUAACUGACGCUGAGGCUCGAAAGCGUGGGGAGCAAACAGGAUUAGAUACCCUGGUA
rnacentral:rRNA from 1 species